rnacentral:rRNA from 1 species
AUUGAACGCUGGCGGCAGGCCUAACACAUGCAAGUCGAGCGGAUGAAGGGAGCUUGCUCCUGGAUUCAGCGGCGGACGGGUGAGUAAUGCCUAGGAAUCUGCCUGGUAGUGGGGAAUAACGUCCGGAAACGGGCGCUAAUACCGCAUACGUCCUGAGGGAGAAAGUGGGGGAUCUUCGGACCUCACGCUAUCAGAUGAGCCUAGGUCGGAUUAGCUAGUUGGUGGGGUAAAGGCCUACCAAGGCGACGAUCCGUAACUGGUCUGAGAGGAUGAUCAGUCACACUGGAACUGAGACACGGUCCAGACUCCUACGGGAGGCAGCAGUGGGGAAUAUUGGACAAUGGGCGAAAGCCUGAUCCAGCCAUGCCGCGUGUGUGAAGAAGGUCUUCGGGUUGUAAAGCACUUUAAGUUGGGAGGAAGGGCAGUAAGUUAAUACCUUGCUGUUUUGACGUUACCAACAGAAUAAGCACCGGCUAACUUCGUG